rnacentral:lncRNA from 1 species
AGCAAACCAACCACUCCAUUUUAGAACGAACUUCGUACGAACCUGAAUUGUCCAAUUUCCUGGACCAAUAGAUAUCGGAUUGAGUACAAAACUUGGGGAACAUCAUAAUAUGAUGGGUGGAGUCAUUUGGUGAGUUUUGAACGAAAUCCAAUGCCUAAAACUAUACAAUACACCACCCACUCCAUUUCAUAAUGAACUUCGUACGAACCUAAAUUGUCCAAUUUCAUGGCCUAAUCGAUAUCAGAUUGAGUCCAAAACUUGGUGAACACCAUAAUAUGAUGGGAGAAGUCGUUUGGUGGGUUCUGCGUGUAAUCCAAUGGCUACAACUAUG